UAAGAGACUGAUCCUGUCUUAUUAAGAUUGUCUUAUUAAGUAAUUUAUUACAUGUGAGUUGUUGCGAGUUGUUAAGUUCUAAAUGAUUAAUAAUUGAAUAAUUGCAGUUUAUUGUUUUAUAAAUUUAAGGGGGCUUGGAUAUAGAUAACUUAUUACAAUUGUAUAAUGUUGUGCCAGCAUACGCGGUUACACAACUGAUUGAAGUUAAUCAUUAUUGGUGUUUAUUAAUUUGUUUAAUUGGAACAAGAUUUUAUAUUUUAUGGUGAAAUAUUAAAUUUAAAAGUUUUAUUUUUGGUUUAUGAUUAUAAGAAUAUUAAAAUUAAAACUAGGAUUAGAUACCCUAUUAUUUUAAUGGUAAGGAUAGCUAUGGGACUAAUAGAUAAGUUCUUUAAAUUAAAAGGAUUUGGCGGUAAUUUAGUCUUUUCAGAGGAACCUGUUGUGUAAUUGAUAAUCCACGUUAGUUUAGACUUUAAUUUUUGCUUAUAUACCUCUGUUAUUGAAUGUCUUAAAAGGGUAUUUUCUAUAAAUAUUAUUUAUUUAAUAUCAAGUCAAGGUGUAGCUAUAUUAAAGAAUUUAAUGGGUUACAUUUAAUUUAUUAAUUGGAUGGGUAUUAUGUUUAUCAUAAUUCUUUGAAAUAGGAUUUGAAAGUAAGUUUUAUUAAUUAAUAAAGUUGACUUUAAGCUCUAAAUUAUGUACAUAUCGCCCGUCGCUCUUGGGUUUAAACAAGAUAAGUCGUAACAAAGUAAUUUUACUGGAAAGUGAGGUUGAUUGAAA
rnacentral:ncRNA from 1 species